UACGGGGGGAGCAAGCGUUGUUCGGAUUUACUGGGCGUAAAGGGCGCGUAGGCGGCGCAACAAGUCACUUGUGAAAUCUCCGGGCUUAACCCGGAGCGGUCAAGUGAUACUGUCGUGCUAGAGUGCGGAAGGGGCUACUGGAAUUCUCGGUGUAGCGGUGAAAUGCGUAGAUAUCGGAGAGGAACACCCUGCGGCGAAGGCGGGUAGCUGGGCCGACACUGACGCUGAUGCGCGAAAGCCAGGGGAGCGAACGGG
rnacentral:rRNA from 1 species